rnacentral:rRNA from 1 species
AACUAUAACGGUCCUAAGGUAGCGAAAUUCCUUGUCAGGUAAGUUCUGACCCGCACGAAUGGCGUAACGAUUUGGGCGCUGUCUCAACAGCCCACCCGGCGAAAUUGUAGUACUGGUGAAGAUGCCAGUUACCCGCAACUAGACGGAAAGACCCCAUGGAGCUUUACUGUAGCUUAAUACUGAGGAUUGGUAAAUGAUGUACAGGAUAGGUGGGAGACUUGGAAGUCAGGGCGUCAGCUUUGAUGGAGUCAACCUUGGGAUACCACCCUUCAUUUGCUGGUUUUCUAACCUGCGGCCGUGAAUCCGGUCGGGGGACACUGUUAGGUGGGCAGUUUGACUGGGGCGGUCGCCUCCAAAAAGGUAACGGAGGCGCUCAAAGGUUCGUUCAGCACGGACGGAAACCGUGCAGUGAGUGUAAACGCAUAAACGAGCCUAACUGCGAGACCGACGGGUCGAGCAGUAACGAAAGUUGGAGUUAGUGAUCCGGCGGUAUGUGAGUGGAAAUGCCGUCGCUCAACGGAUAAAAGCUACCCUGGGGAUAACAGGCUGAUCUCCCCCAAGAGUCCACAUCGACGGGGAGGUUUGGCACCUCGAUGUCGGCUCAUCGCAUCCUGGGGCUGAAUUCGGUCCCAAGGGUUUGGCUGUUCGCCAAUUAAAGCGGCACGCGAGCUGGGUUCAGAACGUCGUGAGACAGUUCGGUCCCUAUCUGUUGCGGGCGUAGGAAUAUUGAGAGGAGCUGCCCUUAGUACGAGAGGACCGGGGUGGACGUACCGCUGGUGCACCAGUUGUUCCGCCAGGAGCAUAGCUGGGUAGCUAAGUACGGACGAGAUAAACGCUGAAGGCAUCUAAGCGUGAAACUUCCCUCGAGAUAAGUAUUCCCACUCUUCGGAGGUAAGGCCCCACGUAGACUAUGUGGUUGAUAGGUCAGGAGUGGAAGCGCAGCAAUGCGUGCAGCGGACUGAUACUAAUAGGCCGAGGGCUUGACCUA